CCAAAAUAAAAGCAAAUAAAAUAUCCUAGCCCAAUUACUAAACCAGCCCAAACAUUAAACCCUCAGCCCAAAUUUUAACCCUAAGCCCAAAUGGCCCACAAAUUAUGCCAACUUUCAGCUAAGGGAAAACCCUAGGUGCGCCGCACCUAGGUCUUUAGCCUCCAACGCCGCGAGUCAGCACCACCACCGCCACUGCUCGCCUGUCGUUGGCCCUUCACGCGCGUCAGACUACCUGCAAGAGAGAGCCACACGCAAACAAAAAACAAAAAAAGAAAGUCGAAACAA
rnacentral:lncRNA from 1 species